rnacentral:ncRNA from 1 species
CUUUGGGAGCGUUAUAUCAAACGAAAGUAGUUAGCAAACGAGCGUAAGCGAGUAAGCGACAAAAUCGGACGCGAUGAACAAGGAA